rnacentral:piRNA from 1 species
UAUACUCCUGCAGUUCAUUAG